rnacentral:rRNA from 1 species
GGAUGGAUCGAUUUAGCCAUGCUAGUUGCACGAGUUUAGACUCGUAGCAGAUAGCUCAGUAACACGUGGCCAAACUACCCUAUGGAUCCGAAUAACCUCGGGAAACUGAGGCUAAUGCGGAAUAGCGUUCAUCGCCUGGAGUGGCACGAACGCGAAACGUUACGGCGCCAUAGGAUGUGGCUGCGGCCGAUUAGGUAGACGGUGGGGUAACGGCCCACCGUGCCCAUAAUCGGUACGGGUUGUGAGAGCAAGAGCCCGGAGACGGUAUCUGAGACAAGAUACCGGGCCCUACGGGGCGCAGCAGGCGCGAAACCUUUACACUGCACGCGAGUGCGAUAAGGGGACUCCGAGUGCGAGGGCAUAUAGUCCUCGCUUUUCACGACCGUAAGGUGGUCGUAGAAUAAGUGCUGGGCAAGACCGGUGCCAGCCGCCGCGGUAAUACCGGCAGCACAAGUGAUGACCGCUAUUAUUGGGCCUAAAGCGUCCGUAGCUGGCCACGCAAGUCUAUCGGGAAAUCCGCGCGCUUAACGCGCGGGCGUCCGGUGGAAACUGCGUGGCUUGGGACCGGAAGACCAGAGGGGUACGUCCGGGGUAGGAGUG